rnacentral:rRNA from 1 species
AUUGAACGCUGGCGGCAGGCCUAACACAUGCAAGUCGAACGGUAGCACAGAGAGCUUGCUCUUGGGUGACGAGUGGCGGACGGGUGAGUAAUGUCUGGGAGACUGCCCGAUGGAGGGGGAUAACUACUGGAAACGGUAGCUAAUACCGCAUAACGUCUUCGGACCAAAGUGGGGGACCUUCGGGCCUCACACCAUCGGAUGUGCCCAGAUGGGAUUAGCUAGUAGGUGGGGUAAAGGCUCACCUAGGCGACGAUCCCUAGCUGGUCUGAGAGGAUGACCAGCCACACUGGAACUGAGACACGGUCCAGACUCCUACGGGAGGCAGCAGUGGGGAAUAUUGCACAAUGGGCGCAAGCCUGAUGCAGCCAUGCCGCGUGUAUGAAGAAGGCCUUCGGGUUGUAAAGUACUUUCAGCGGGGAGGAAGGCGUUAAGGUUAAUAACCUUGGCGAUUGACGUUACCCGCAGAAGAAGCACCGGCUAACUCCGUGCCAGCCGCCGCAGUAA